UACAAAAUACGUUCCCAUACAACUAAACUGCAUUCUCAAUUAUGUUUGGAGGGAAACGUAUUUUGUCACCGUUCACGUUUGUCUUUGGCGUAUCACAAAUACGUUUGUAAUGAUAGUCCACGGAAGGUCGCAGCAAGUACCAUGGUGCAGCAAGCAACGUGUAGAGCAGGUGACAUUGUUUAUCGAGCAACCGUUAAUGUAUCUGGGCUGUCGAGGGAAGAGAUAAGAAGAUGGAGGAGGACAAAGGAACGCAGAGAGGAGAGAAAGGCAGAAAAUCCAAGGCGAGGAGUAGAUUCCACUUGGCAUCUAAAACAUGGAUGUUUUAGAUGUACGAAGACGUUGCCAGUUCUUUCCACCGAAUGCUCACUCAGCGUACAGGCUAAAACCAUUUCCCUCUUCCUUUAAAAAAUAUGAAACCCUCUUUGUUUAAACAAUUGUAAUGACAGAAGUAAACUACAGUUUGAAGGAUCCUGUACAUUUUUUUAACAGAUGGCUCUUUUCUAAAAGUGCUUUAUGGGGAGAAUUCUUUUUAGGCUGCAGUUUUUUUUUUGUAUUCUUUGCAGUACCACAGUUGACCACUGGGGCAUAGUGGACUGGAGACUCUCGGGGGACCAUUUUGACCUGCAAGGCCAGGGUGACAUGACCAACAGAGGCAGGCAAGCACACUCUCCCUCUAGCGGGCUAAUCUGCUGACAUGUUUGCUGUUGCCUAACCACUAGGUCGGGGUGGUGGAUGGGUCGACAAACACCAGACUUUCGCCCAGGAGUCCGGUGUUGCAUUUUUUGGGGGUUUUGUUUCAAUUCCAUAUUCAUUUUUAUGCCAAACCAUGA